CAGUGAGGGUUCUGGCGGGUCUUGGCACUGGAAGAAUUCACAGAUGUGCAAUAUAUAAUCGUGGAUCUUGCAAUGCCAUCACUUGCUGGAUGCCGAUUCAUCAUGGAUAUCGUC
rnacentral:pre_miRNA from 1 species